GAAAACUAACAUCUCGAAAAGUCAAAUGAUGGGGUAACGCCCUGAAAGGCUAUUGCAAGGCCUAUGAGCGUGUCUACGGAAAGAAAGCACACGAAAGUUGAAUGGGUAAGCAAACUCUAAACAUAAAUGCCCCCUGCCAUGAUUAUAACUUUCUUUCAACAGAAAU
rfam:Desulfosporosinus sp. BRH_c37 BRHa_1005131, whole genome shotgun sequence.